rnacentral:lncRNA from 1 species
CUACAUUCUGGGUGCCAGUUAAAUUCUUAAGAGUAGCGCUUCUCAACCUUCUUGAGGGAUUAUGUGAGAACAGAUUCUAAUUCAGAAAAUCAAGGGGUGGCCCAGGAUCCUGAAGAGCUGAUGUUACUAGUGCUGGUCCCCAGACCACCUAAUCUCCUCUGUGAACUUAAGGGAAGAUGGCUCCAAAGAGACCCAGUUUCAGCUGAGCGUUUAUAAGAAAACAGAGCAAACUCUAAACAGAGUCAGAUUUUCGUUGGAUUUUGCUAUGGAUAUUUAGCUAAUUUAAUGUAAUUAUCGGAAAGAAGGCUCGAUUGAAUGAGUGGGAAAUUCUGAAAGGAGUUCGGUUUUUAGGCUACAUAGAAUCAUUAUCUAACAAUUAACAAAGUGCAGCCAGAAAAGGUUUCUUCUCUUGGACCUCAUGAAAUGUUUAAUAUGGAUCAAAGGGCACGUGAAUCUUCAGGAAGAAGGAAAGGAGGACAGAAGUUUCGACCUCUCAAGCAUCCCACCUCUUUUUCAUGAGUCUCAAAGAAGACCCUCUGUUUAACAAGUCCCCAUCUAGCUUCCUCUUUGCAAGAAUGGGCUAUGAAGACAGUGGAGGAUCCCUUCUGCAGGGGCUGGAAUUCAUACAACAGGAGGCGCUGUCAGCAGCAGUCGAGCCUGCCUCUUGGAAUCACGUCUGUCUCACCCCCGGCAGCCUCGUGCCUCAAAGGCUGGACCAGUGGCUGUGCCCUGGGUCUAGUGCAGUCCGGCUGGUGAGCGGCCCCUGCCAGGCCCCGAGGAGUGACACCUUACAUCUACUGAGCUCAGCCUUCCAGAUUUUAUCAUGCCAUUCAAGUGC